AGGCACCCCUUGGAGUCCCGGAGACGGUGGGGUGGCUCUGAAGCUUGUGAGCUCCCUUUCUUCUCUCUGCGAGGAGGGGUGCCUGGGCUGCGUUCCAUGGCCAGGGAGGUGAAGGGGUAUCUGGUGGUGAGUUCUUGUCUAAGGGUCCCUCGAUAGAUUCUUUUCUUUCUGUUGCAGUUACCCUUUAUGGGAGUAACUUUGUUUCUGUCUUAGAAAUACCUCAAAAUAUUAGGGUUGGGAAGUGACCGUUUGCAGAAUAGCUCCAGUGGUGGAGGUGGUUCGGGAGGAGGUGGAGAGAGUCAGAAGCCUACCACCUAGCCCAGCUCUGAUGAUCACUUUUGGGUGAUUCUACUUCCUUCCGACUCUUAUUUCCUCAUCUGUAACCAUUGGCACAUAUCAGUGGCUCUUACCCUUUUGGGACCUGUAGGUUUUCUUAACUUUUUUUCUAGAAAGUUCUGGAUUUGUACACAAGGAAACUGUGUAUUGAUAGAUAAACACAAAGUUGUAGUCUUUCAAAAUAUUCAUGGAUUUCUUCAAACUAGGUGGAUUAUAAAUUUAGAACCACUAGGUGGUUUCUGAGGCCCCCUUUGCCUUAACACAGACUAUAAAGUCAACCAUAACCUCUUAGAGGCGAUGCAAAUAUUCCAGG